rnacentral:rRNA from 1 species
UUAAGCGACUAAGCGUACACGGUGGAUGCCCUGGCAGUCAGAGGCGAUGAAGGACGUGCUAAUCUGCGAAAAGCGUCGGUAAGGUGAUAUGAACCGUUAUAACCGGCGAUGUCCGAAUGGGGAAACCCAGUGCAAUUCGUUGCACUAUCGUUAACUGAAUACAUAGGUUAACGAGGCGAACCGGGGGAACUGAAACAUCUAAGUACCCCGAGGAAAAGAAAUCAACCGAGAUUCCCCCAGUAGCGGCGAGCGAACGGGGAGCAGCCCAGAGUCUGAAUCAGCUUGUGUGUUAGUGGAACGGUCUGGAAAGUCCGACGGUACAGGGUGAUAGUCCCGUACACCAAAAUGCACAGGUUGUGAACUCGAAGAGUAGGGCGGGACACGUGGUAUCCUGUCUGAAUAUGGGGGGACCAUCCUCCAAGGCUAAAUACUCCUGACUGACCGAUAGUGAACCAGUACCGUGAGGGAAAGGCGAAAAGAACCCCGGCGAGGGGAGUGAAAAAGAACCUGAAACCGUGUACGUACAAGCAGUGGGAGCACCUUCGGGUGUGACUGCGUACCUUUUGUAUAAUGGGUCAGCGACUUAUAUUCUGUAGCAAGGUUAACCGUAUAGGGGAGCCGCAGGGAAACCGAGUCUUAACUGGGCGUUAAGUUGCAGGGUAUAGACCCGAAACCCGGUGAUCUAGCCAUGGGCAGGUUGAAGGUUGGGUAACACUAACUGGAGGACCGAACCGACUAAUGUUGAAAAAUUAGCGGAUGACUUGUGGCUGGGGGUGAAAGGCCAAUCAAACCGGGAGAUAGCUGGUUCUCCCCGAAAGCUAUUUAGGUAGCGCCUCGUGAACUCAUCUUCGGGGGUAGAGCACUGUUUCGGCUAGGGGGUCAUCCCGACUUACCAACCCGAUGCAAACUACGAAUACCGAAGAAUGUUAUCACGGGAGACACACGGCGGGUGCUAACGUCCGUCGUGAAGAGGGAAACAACCCAGACCGCCAGCUAAGGUCCCAAAGUCAUGGUUAAGUGGGAAACGAUGUGGGAAGGCACAGACAGCCAGGAUGUUGGCUUAGAAGCAGCCAUCAUUUAAAGAAAGCGUAAUAGCUCACUGGUCGAGUCGGCCUGCGCGGAAGAUGUAACGGGGCUAAACCAUGCACCGAAGCUGCGGCAGCGACACUAUGUGUUGUUGGGUAGGGGAGCGUUCUGUAAGCCUGCGAAGGUGUGCUGUGAGGCAUGCUGGAGGUAUCAGAAGUGCGAAUGCUGACAUAAGUAACGAUAAAGCGGGUGAAAAGCCCGCUCGCCGGAAGACCAAGGGUUCCUGUCCAACGUUAAUCGGGGCAGGGUGAGUCGACCCCUAAGGCGAGGCCGAAAGGCGUAGUCGAUGGGAAACAGGUUAAUAUUCCUGUACUUGGUGUUACUGCGAAGGGGGGACGGAGAAGGCUAUGUUAGCCGGGCGACGGUUGUCCCGGUUUAAGCAUGUAGGCUGGUUAUCCAGGCAAAUCCGGAUAAUCAAGGCUGAGGUGUGAUGACGAGGCACUACGGUGCUGAAGUAACAAAUGCCCUGCUUCCAGGAAAAGCCUCUAAGCAUCAGGUAACAUCAAAUCGUACCCCAAACCGACACAGGUGGUCAGGUAGAGAAUACCAAGGCGCUUGAGAGAACUCGGGUGAAGGAACUAGGCAAAAUGGUGCCGUAACUUCGGGAGAAGGCACGCUGGUGUGUAGGUGAAGUCCCUGCGGAUGGAGCUGAGACCAGUCGAAGAUACCAGCUGGCUGCAACUGUUUAUUAAAAACACAGCACUGUGCAAACACGAAAGUGGACGUAUACGGUGUGACGCCUGCCCGGUGCCGGAAGGUUAAUUGAUGGGGUUAUCCGUAAGGAGAAGCUCUUGAUCGAAGCCCCGGUAAACGGCGGCCGUAACUAUAACGGUCCUAAGGUAGCGAAAUUCCUUGUCGGGUAAGUUCCGACCUGCACGAAUGGCGUAAUGAUGGCCAGGCUGUCUCCACCCGAGACUCAGUGAAAUUGAACUCGCUGUGAAGAUGCAGUGUACCCGCGGCAAGACGGAAAGACCCCGUGAACCUUUACUAUAGCUUGACACUGAACAUUGAGCCUUGAUGUGUAGGAUAGGUGGGAGGCUUUGAAGCGUGGACGCCAGUCUGCGUGGAGCCAACCUUGAAAUACCACCCUUUAAUGUUUGAUGUUCUAACGUUGGCCCCUGACCGGGGUUGCGGACAGUGUCUGGUGGGUAGUUUGACUGGGGCGGUCUCCUCCCAAAGCGUAACGGAGGAGCACGAAGGUUAGCUAAUCCUGGUCGGACAUCAGGAGGUUAGUGCAAUGGCAUAAGCUAGCUUGACUGCGAGCGUGACGGCGCGAGCAGGUGCGAAAGCAGGUCAUAGUGAUCCGGUGGUUCUGAAUGGAAGGGCCAUCGCUCAACGGAUAAAAGGUACUCCGGGGAUAACAGGCUGAUACCGCCCAAGAGUUCAUAUCGACGGCGGUGUUUGGCACCUCGAUGUCGGCUCAUCACAUCCUGGGGCUGAAGUAGGUCCCAAGGGUAUGGCUGUUCGCCAUUUAAAGUGGUACGCGAGCUGGGUUUAGAACGUCGUGAGACAGUUCGGUCCCUAUCUGCCGUGGGCGCUGGAGAAUUGAGGGGGGCUGCUCCUAGUACGAGAGGACCGGAGUGGACGCAUCACUGGUGUUCGGGUUGUCAUGCCAAUGGCACUGCCCGGUAGCUAAAUGCGGAAGAGAUAAGUGCUGAAAGCAUCUAAGCACGAAACUUGCCCCGAGAUGAGUUCUCCCUGAGACUAUAAGUCUCCUGAAGGAACGUUGAAGACGACGACGUUGAUAGGCCGGGUGUGUAAGCGCAGCGAUGCGUUGAGCUAACCGGUACUAAUGAACCGUGAGGCUUAACCU